rnacentral:tRNA from 1 species
GCGGACGUAGUGUAGUGGUACCACGAAAGCCCUGCCCAGGCCUUAAACACGGGUUCGAUUCCCGUCGUCCGCUCCC